CCUACGGGUGGCAGCAGUGGGGAAUAUUGCACAAUGGGCGAAAGCCUGAUGCAGCAACGCCGCGUGAAGGAAGAAGGGUUUCGGCUCGUAAACUUCUAUCAACAGGGACGAAAGAAAUGACGGUACCUGAAUAAGAAGCCCCGGCUAACUACGUGCCAGCAGCCGCGGUAAUACGUAGGGGGCAAGCGUUAUCCGGAAUUACUGGGUGUAAAGGGUGAGUAGGCGGCAUGGUAAGCCAGAUGUGAAAGCCUUGGGCUUAACCGGAGGAUUGCAUUUGGAACUAUCAAGCUAGAGUACAGGUAGGGAAGGCGGAAUUCAUGGUGUAGCGGGGAAAUGCGUAGAUAGUAGGAGGAACACCGGUGGCGAAGGCGGCUUUCUGGACUGAAACUGACGCUGAGGCACGAAAGCGUGGGGAGCAAACAGGAUUAGAUACCCCGGUAGUC
rnacentral:rRNA from 1 species